rnacentral:rRNA from 1 species
GUGCCAGCAGCCGCGGUAAUACGGAGGGUGCGAGCGUUAAUCGGAAUGACUGGGCGUAAAGGGCAUGUAGGCGGAUAAUUAAGUUAGGUGUGAAAUCCCUGGGCUCAACCUAGGAAUUGCAUUUAAAACUGGUUAUCUGGAGUAUUGUAGAGGAAGGUAGAAUUCCACGUGUAGCGGUGAAAUGCGUAGAGAUGUGGAGGAAUACCGGUGGCGAAGGCGGCCUUCUGGACAGAUACUGACGCUGAGAUGCGAAAGCGUGGGGAGCAAACAGGAUUAGAUACCCUGGUAGUCCACGCCGUAAACGGUGGAUGCUGGAUGUGGGGCCCAUUCCACGGGUUCCGCGUCGGAGCUAACGCGUUAAGCAUCCCGCCUGGGGAGUACGACCGCAAGGUUGAAACUCAAAGGAAUUGACGGGGGCCCGCACAAGCGGUGGAGCAUGUGGUUUAA